rnacentral:rRNA from 1 species
AUUGAACGCUGGCGGCAGGCUUAACACAUGCAAGUCGAACGAGUGGCGGACGGGUGAGUAAUGUUUGGGAAUCUAGCUUAUGGAGGGGGAUAACUACGGGAAACUGUAGCUAAUACCGCGUACCAUUGGCUGGGCCCAUGUGGGAUUAGGUAGUUGGUGGGGUAAAGGCGCACCAAGCCGACGAUCUGUAGCUGGUCUGAGAGGAUGACCAGCCACACUGGGACUGAGACACGGCCCAGACUCCUACGGGAGGCAGCAGUGGUGAAUAUUGCGCAAUGGGGGCAACCUGACGCAGCCAUGCCGCGUGUAUGAAGAAGGCCUUCGGGUUGUAAAGUACUUUCGGUAGCGAGGCGUUAACUACAGAAUAAGCACCGGCUAACUCCGUGCCAGCAGCCGCGGUAAUAC